GACGAACGCUGGCGGCGUGCUUAACACAUGCAAGUCGAACGAUGAACCCGGAGCUUGCUCCGGUGGAUUAGUGGCGAACGGGUGAGUAACACGUGAGUAACCUGCCCUUGACUCUGGGAUAACUGCGGGAAACUGUAGCUAAUACCGGAUACGACCCUCGGCGGCAUCGCCAGGGGGUGGAAAGAAUUUCGGUCAAGGAAGGACUCGCGGCCUAUAAGCUAGUUGGUGAGGUAGCGGCUCACCAAGGCGACGACGGGUAGCCGGCCUGAGAUGGUGACCGGCAACACUGGGACUGAGACGCGGCCACGACUCCUACGGGAGGCAGCAGUGGGGAAUAUUGCACAAUGGGCGCAAGCCUGAUGCAGCAACGCCGCGUGAGGGAUGACGGCCUUCGGGUUGUAAACCUCUUUUAGUGGGGAAGAAGCGAAAGUGACGGUACCUGCAGAAAAAGCACCGGCUAACUACGUGCCAGCCGCCGCCGUAA
rnacentral:rRNA from 1 species